GGAGCGUAGCUCAGUGGUAGAGCAUCUGCUUUGCAUGCAGAUGGCCCUAUGUUUGAUCUGUGAUCUGGGAGAGAUCCC